UAACGGCGAGUGAAGCGGCAACAGCUCAAAUUUGAAAUCUGGCGCAAGCCCGAGUUGUAAUUUGCAGAGGAUGUUUCGGGUGAAGCCACGGUCCAAGUCCCUUGGAACAGGACGUCAUAGAGGGUGAGAACCCCGUACCUGGCCGUCGGUGCCCCCCGCUGUGAAACUCCUUCGACGAGUCGAGUUGUUUGGGAAUGCAGCUCUAAAUUGGUGGUAAAUUCCAUCUAAAGCUAAAUACCGGCCAGAGACCGAUAGCGCACAAGUAGAGUGAUCGAAAGAUGAAAAGCACUUUGAAAAGAGAGUUAAAAAGUACGUGAAAUUGUUGAAAGGGAAGCGCUUGCGGCCAGACUUGCCCGCGGUUGCUCAGCCCGCCUUUUGGCGGGUGCACUCUUCCGCGGUCAGGCCAGCAUCGGUUUGGGCGGUCGGAUAAAGGCGCCGGGAACGUGGCCUCCCCUCGGGGAGGUGUUAUAGCCCGGCGCGCAAUGCGGCCAGCCCGGACCGAGGUUCGCGCUUUGCUAGGAUGCUGGCGUAAUGGCCGUAAGCGGCCGUCUUGAAACACGGACCAAGGAGUCUAACAUCUAUGCGAGUGUUUGGGUGUCAAACCCGUGCGCGUAAUGAAAGUGAACGGAGGUGGGAACCGCAAGGUGCACCAUCGACCGAUCCUGAUGUCUUCGGAAGGAUUUGAGUAAGAGCAUAGCUGUUGGGACCCGAAAGAUGGUGAACUAUGCGUGAAUAGGGUGAAGCCAGAGGAAACUCUGGUGGAGGCUCGCAGCGGUUCUGACGUGCAAAUCGAUCGUCAAAUUUGCGUAUAGGGGCGAAAGACUAAUCGAACC
rnacentral:rRNA from 1 species